rnacentral:rRNA from 1 species
CCUACGGGAGGCAGCAGUGAGGAAUAUUGGUCAAUGGACGAGAGUCUGAACCAGCCAAGUAGCGUGAAGGAUGACUGCCCUAUGGGUUGUAAACUUCUUUUAUAUGGGAAUAAAACGUUCCACGUGUGGGAUUUUGUAUGUACCAUAUGAAUAAGGAUCGGCUAACUCCGUGGCAGCAGCCGCGGUAAUACGGAGGAUCCGAGCGUUUACCGGAUUUAUUGGGUUUAAAGGGAACGUCGGUGGAUUGUUAAUGCAGUUGUGAAAGUUUGCGGCUCAACCGUAAAAUUGCAGUUGAAACUGGCAGUCGUGAGUACAGUAGAGGUGGGCGGAAUUCGUGGUGUAGCGGUGAAAUGCUUAGAUAUCACGAAGAACUCCGAUUGCGAAGGCAGUUCACUGGACUGCAACUGACACUGAGGCUCGAAAGUGUGGGUAUCAAACAGGAUUAGAUAACCGAGUAGUC